AUUGAACGCUGGCGGCAUGCCUUACACAUGCAAGUCGAACGGCAGCACGGGGGCAACCCUGGUGGCGAGUGGCGAACGGGUGAGUAAUGCAUCGGAACGUGCCCAGUAGUGGGGGACAACCAGUCGAAAGAUUGGCUAAUACCGCAUACGACCUAUGGGUGAAAGCGGGGGACCGUAAGGCCUCGCGCUAUUGGAGAGGCCGAUGUCUGAUUAGCUAGUUGGUGAGGUAAAGGCUAACCAAGGCGACGAUCAGUAGCUGGUCUGAGAGGACGACCAGCCACACUGGGACUGAGACACAGACCAGACUCCUACGGGAAGCAGCAGUGGGGAAUUUUGGACAAUGGGCGCAAGCCUGAUCCAGCCAUGCCGCGUGCGAGAAGAAGGCCUUCGGGUUGUAAACCGCUUUUGGCAGGAACGAAACGGCGCGGGCUAAUACCCAGCGUUAAUGACGGUACCUGCAGAAUAAGCACCGGCUAACUACGUGCCAGCAGCCGCAGUAAAAC
rnacentral:rRNA from 1 species